rnacentral:rRNA from 1 species
CCUACGGGUGGCAGCAGUGGGGAAUAUUGGGCAAUGGGCGCAAGCCUGACCCAGCAACGCCGCGUGAAGGAAGAAGGCUUUCGGGUUGUAAACUUCUUUUCUGAGGGACGAAGAAAGUGACGGUACCUCAGGAAUAAGCCACGGCUAACUACGUGCCAGCAGCCGCGGUAAUACGUAGGUGGCAAGCGUUAUCCGGAUUUAUUGGGUGUAAAGGGCGUGUAGGCGGGAAAGCAAGUCAGAUGUGAAAACUCAGGGCUCAACCCUGAGCCUGCAUUUGAAACUGUUUUUCUUGAGUGCUGGAGAGGCAAUCGGAAUUCCGUGUGUAGCGGUGAAAUGCGUAGAUAUACGGAGGAACACCAGUGGCGAAGGCGGAUUGCUGGACAGUAACUGACGCUGAAGCACGAAAGCGUGGGUAUCGAACAGGAUUAGAUACCCUAGUAGUC